rnacentral:ribozyme from 11 species
UCUUACACUCUUGAUUUUUCAUUUGUUGUUUCUUCUGUUGCUUUCCCUGGUUGAGCUCUCUUCCUGACAAGCACGUUUUGCAGCUGCUGUGCAAUCUUUGUACAACUGAAAAUUUCUAGCACGUCUUUGGAUGUGACGAUUCUGUGAGAUAUGCAAAGAUACUUCCAAGCAAAGAUUUGUUUGUAAAAUGUUAAAACCUGAGAUGUUUGCACACAAGGCAAACAAAAAUAUCUCGACUUCAUUCCUCUUCUUGUCAUUCCUUGUCAAUCCUCUUGAUUGCAAGCAGAGCUCUCAUCUUCGAGCUUGAAUCUGAAAGGGAGGAGAUGACUUGUUGAAGUCGGGAGAAAACACUGGUGGUUCUCAAAAAGAGAAAUC